UGUUCUCAUCUUAAUAGUGGAGGAACCUCAUGGUCAUGUUGCUUGGACAUAUCUGACUACCUGGUUAGCUCUCUCCUUGAGGUUGAGUGUGCGCCUCCUGCGAGGGAAACUUUGCGGACGAGGAGGUUUUUCCUUGAGUGAUUCACCAAUAAUUGAAUCACAUGAAUUAGAGACGGAUAAUCUUUUGGAAUGCCCUUUAUACUAACGGGCAGGAAUCCAUCUAUAAUCCGUCUCUAAAGCCGUGUUAGAGACGGAAUAUAGAUGGAUCCUCCCAUUCGUAAUUGACUGUUUUCUAGUAGUGUAACACAAAGUAUAAGUAAGAGCAUCAAAUCGAUUCCUCUCUAUCCGUUGCGUGGAUUUGCCGGUGCUCGUUUGUCCAGAUUAGCAUGGGCCAUGGCAUCGGGGUUCGGCCAAGUAUAUAAAUUGGAUGUCGUUAGCGCUGGCAAGAACUUCACGAAGAUCCGGAAAGCAGUCACAGCAGGGUUCUUCUCCCACGCAGCAAGGAUCCAUGGGGAGGUUACCGGGCCAUAGUCAGAACCAGCCAGCAGCGCCGUCUUCCUAAUUGGGUGAUAUACCACGGGCUGGUCAUUGCCGCUAAUGAGUACACGCUUGGGGUUACUGAGAUCUAAGCAAAAGAAACUAUGGAUGAGGAGGGAGAAAUGGAUGGUCCGCCUGGCAGCUCCAUUCCAAGAGAGAUCGUGUUCGAGAUACUGACGAGACUCCCGCCGAACAUGUACUCUUUGGACAGCGACAAUAAGUCGAGCCUCGGGGAGGACUGCCCAUGGUUCAAUCUGCUUGUACCCUAUCUUGAACCUGCCAAUGACGGAAUCAUGGACACAUGGCUAGGACCACGCAUCACCCUUGCUUCCCGCAGUCCGUUGGGGGCCUCAUCUGCCUCGAGUUUAAUUACCAUGUCGAGAUCUAUAACCCCAGCACCAGGGAACAUAUAUGUAGGACUUUCUUGCACUUCAAUCCUGUCGAGAACCGACACAAAUCUUUCCAGUCGCAUGAGGAUACUAUUCCAAUAAAAUGCGUCACCAUGUGUUUGUUCCAGGCAGUAAGAGAUGGAGGGAGAUAGAAGACAACCAUCCGGUCGGUCAGCAGGUUACUCGUUGUGGAGGCGAGGUCUGCAUCGAUGGGAUCCUAUACGACACAGGUUUGCCAGUGACAGUAAGUUAUCAUGGCCACCUCCCCGGAACUUGGUUGCCUUCAACGGCGUCCGAUCAAUCCCCAUUGGAUGUAAGAGAGGAGACAGAGGCUCGUGGAAUUCUUGGAUGGGCGUGUAGCUAUAGUCUAUUAACCAGAGUUUGGCAACGACCACCUUAGACGGAGUCGUCCAGUGGAUUUCAUAGAUCACAUCCAAUUGAAGAUUUUGGAGAAGGGCUCCCAAUCGAUCUCGAAACAAUUUGAUUUGCCAUCACGGGAGGUCUUCCCUCGGUACGGGGAGUUCAAGGUAGCCUCUGCGGCGACGAAUUACUAUGGUUUGUAUGGACCCCUCAAAAGUCGAACUCCUCCUUCCUCUCCUACGACGCUCCGAAAGAAGUGUUCCGGAAAUUAGCUGAACAAGUUCCACGUACACUAGGCUAUCCCAUCUACUAUCCAUCCCAUGAUAAAGCCUUCGUCUGCGAUCAUGCGGAGAACCUAUUGCCAUUGAAAGGUUGGGCCGAUGAGGUUCCGGUGUUAAAAGCAUAAAGACAGAGGUCCAUGAUAGAUUAUUGAUCGGGUCUCGACACAGCAUAUAUGUAAUUGAUGAUGCUUAUCCGACUAAUUAGACGUAAAAUCUUCGUGUAUCAAGAUUAGCUUAACUUUCCAGAAUCCUUCACACCCAGAG